UUCCUAUUACACUUACACUGAAUCUUGUCUUUUUUAUCUAUCAAUUUUUCUCAAAUCUUUUUAAGUUUAUUUCAUAAAUUUGGUUUGUCUUCCUCCUUCCCACUUUUCUUUCUUUCGGAUUUAUUUGCUCUUGUGUUCCACCUAGUUUAAUCUUCAGUUUCUCCAAGUUUUCCUUGUUAUUUCUAAUUCUUUCUUGAGUUACCUGCUUUUCCCCCAAUCUUCUUUGCAUUAUUUCAUAUUCUAUUUUGCUGUUCUGUCAUAGCUUCUAUAAUCUUAAUUUCUAAAGCUCAUUUUGAAAUAGCAGGUACAUAUUUUGCAAGUAUAUAUUUCUGGUAUACUUUAUUUACAGCAAUGUUCUUUGCACUUAACCCAUUAAGCUUUUUUAUUCUUUUACUCAUUUUAUACAGGAUUAAACAAUGGUCCUCAACUGUUGCUCAUACCAUGUGAGAUGGGGGCAGAAUUGCUUUCCUAGCUUUGUGGUUCUAGGGCUUCUUUCUGUGGUUUUUGAAAAACGAUGAAAAAAAAAAAAUCUCACUUUCUGUUCCUCUCCCAAUUUUUUUUUUUUUUUUUUUUUUUUUUGGUCUUUUUGCUAUUUCUUGGGCCGCUCCCGCGGCAUAUGGAGGUUCCCAGAAAAGGCAAAAAGACAAAAAANNNNNNNNNAAAAAAAAAAAAAAAAAAAAAAAAAAAAAAAAAAGAAAGAAAAAAGAAAAAAAUGAAAAAGAAAUGCUUUGUCCCUGCAUAGGAAACUGGACAUGUACUUACUUAAAGCCCAUUAAUUCCACUGGGAGCUACACAGACUAGCGGAAUUUGUAUAUGUGCACCCAUGUAUUUCUUUAUUUUAUUUGGUGGGGGGGUCACUCCUGUGGCACACAGAAGUUUCUGGGCCAGAGAUCUAACUUGUGCCACAGCAGUGACAACAACAGGCCCCUAACCUGCUGAACAACUAGGAAACUCUGCACCCAUGUGUUUAUGCAUCUGUACAAAUAUAAACCACCAAGGGUCUGCCGCAAGCCAAGGGAGAAAAUGGUGGUGCAUCCACACAAAGGACCACCAUGCAGCAGCGACUACAUAGGAAGUACAGCAUUGCACAUCGACAUGCAAACAUGUGAGGAGUAUGUUGAGCAAAAAAGGCAAGUCAGAGGGAAAUGCAUACUGCAUUGUUCAUUUUACAUAAAGUUUAAAAACAGGCAAAACCAAGCAAUGUGGUAUUUGAAGUAAAAUUGUAAACACACACGAGGUAUGGUGUAAGCAUUGAGGAGCAGCAGAGAUUUUUGUCUCCUCCUGUAUCCCUCAGCUCUGGUUGCCAUAACAAAGUACCACAGGUGGGUGACUUAAACAACACACACAUUAUCUUCCCACAAUUCUGGAGGCCAGGCAUCUGAGAUUAAGUUUUCAGCAGUGUGGCUUCUCCUGUGGCUUCUCCUUGGCUUGCAGACGACGAUCUCUGUGUCCUCGCAUCUGUGCACACCUAUGCGCCACUCUCUUCUUCUGAGGACAGCAGUCAGAUUGGAUAAGGGACCACACAGAUGGGCCUCCUUUGAACUUAAUAGCUUCUUAAAAGGCCCUAUCUCCAAAUGCAGUCACAUUCUGAGGUAGUGGGGGUUAGGACUUCAACAUGCAUUUUUGGAGGUCAUAAUUCAGCACAUAACAACUCCCCAUUUCCUUGGGCCACAAGGUAGUCAGGUAGUUGAAUUUAAUUACAUGUAAUAAAAAGUUAUUAGCACAUAUUCUGUCCAAAGGAAUCAUAGCUGAGUUUCAGAAUUAAACACAUUCAGGAGUUCUCAUCAUGGCUCAGUGGUUAACGAACCUGACUAGAAUCUAUGAGGACAUGGGUUCAAUCCCUGGCCUUGGUCAGUGCGCUAAGGAUCUGGCGUUGCCAUGAGCUGUGGUGUGAGUCCCAGACUUGGCUCGGAUCCUGUGUUGCGGUGGCUGUGGCACAGGCUGGCAGCUACAGCUCCAGCUGGACUCCUAGCAUGGGUACCUCCAUAUGCUGUGGUUGCGGCCCUAAAAAGACAAAAGACAAAAAAAAAAAAAAAAAAAAUGAGAAUUAAACACAUUCAGAAUUAGAGCGUUGAGAGUUAGUCUUCCAGCACUGUAUAGAAAGAAUGCAAGUGUGGACCAAAGGGGCAGAUAAUGUAGAACUCAAUUAUCUCCAGCUCAGUUAUGGAGGAAGAAGGCAGCACAGACAAGUGACCCAGCAGAUAUGGAAAAGCAGGUAGACUGGCUCUUAAAGGAGGGAGGAAUGACUGAAUGAACGAUUCCUGGGUGUCCCCAGCAUCAGCAGAGUGCAAACAGAAUAGCACAGUCUUAUUGCUAAAAGAGUAAGAGUUUCAUAUUAGUCUCUUCCACUUGUAUUAAAACUCUAAUGUGAGCAUACAGGAUAUUCUUAGAGAAUAAUUGAUCAUAUAAACUUUGCUAAAAAUAAUUCUUAAAAUGUCACGUACUGGUGCUAAGAACAUUAUUAUCUUUCUGCUUUUUUAGGGCCACACCUGAAGCAUAUGGAGGUUCCUAGGCUAGGGGUCGAAGCAGAGCUGUAGCCACCAGCCUACACCACAGCCACAGCAACACGGGAUCUAAGCUGCAUCUUCGACCUACACCACAGCUCAUGGCAACGCUGGAUCCUUAACCCACUGAGUGAGGCCAGGGAGCAAACCUGCAACCUCAUGGUUCCUAGUCGGGUUCAUUUCCUUUGUGCCACAAUGGGAACU
rnacentral:lncRNA from 1 species